rnacentral:rRNA from 1 species
GUAGGUGGCAAGCGUUGUCCGGAAUUAUUGGGCGUAAAGCGCGCGCAGGCGGUUCUUUAAGUCUGAUGUGAAAGCCCACGGCUCAACCGUGGAGGGUCAUUGGAAACUGGAGAACUUGAGUACAGAAGAGGAAAGCGGAAUUCCACGUGUAGCGGUGAAAUGCGUAGAGAUGUGGAGGAACACCAGUGGCGAAGGCGGCUUUCUGGUCUGUAACUGACACUGAGGCGCGAAAGCGUGGGGAGCAAACAGGAUUAGAUACCCUGGUAGUCCACGCCGUAAACGAUGAGUGCUAAGUGUUAGGGGGUUUCCGCCCCCUUAGUGCUGCAGCUAACGCAUUAAGCACUCCGCCUGGGAGUACGGCCGCAAGGCUG